rnacentral:rRNA from 1 species
UACGUAGGGUGCGAGCGUUGUCCGGAUUUAUUGGGCGUAAAGAGCGUGUAGGCGGCUUCACAGGUCCGCUGUGAAAACUCGAGGCUCAACCUCGAGCUGUCGGUGGAAACCGUGUGGCUAGAGUCCGGAAGAGGAGAGUGGAAUUCCCGGUGUAGCGGUGAAAUGCGCAGAUAUCGGGAAGAACACCCGUGGCGAAGGCGGCUCUCUGGGACGGUACUGACGCUGAGACGCGAAAGCGUGGGGAGCGAACAGG